rnacentral:misc_RNA from 1 species
AAAAAAAAAAGAAAAAAAAAACCUUAGACUUUAGAUGAUAAAGAUGCACUGUUAUAGUAAGAAAAAGUAAUUAGGGUGAAUAUAUAAGAACCAAUUUUGAUUCAUUGGUGGAAUUGUUUGGUUGAUGAACGCAAUUAUGUUAUAAUAAACGAAUGUGAAAGUUGUUGUCAUUUUAUGAUUUUGGGCGAAGUAAUUUGUCCAAAUAUUUAUGAUCAUCAAUGUCUGCGUAAGAUUGAUUACAUAGGAAAUGAUCUUGGUUUGGAAAAUCUAUAUGAUUAUGAAUAAAUGCUUGGCUGUUAGCACAAUCAAUGAAAAUAAACAGAAGACAACAUAAAGUAAGAAUGAAAAAUGCUAUUUUAUGUAAAUUGAACAAUUAUAUUUGAAUAGGGAGAAUAGGGGAGUGGAAACUUGAAUAUGAGCCCGUCAGGUGAAUGAUGUGUUUGUAAUUAUCAUGUUUUUAAUACUCUUUAAAGAGGAGUGAGAGCCACAUGUGUAACUAACUAUUGGCAUAGUGAGUUUUGUUCCGCUAUUCCUUUGAGGUUUUCUUCCCACCUACAAGUGAUGUAAGAAUAUUCAAUUCAAUUGUAU